CCCCCUAAUUCCCACAUACUGGAUACUACAUAUUACAAUUUUUGAAGCAGUUAAGUUGUGGUCUUUUGUGAGGUCCAGAAGUAUUGGCGAUACACGAUCCUCCUUGUCUCUUGCAGUCAAAGCUUCAUCCAAAAAAUUAAAAAUAGCAGUUUCGUCGAUUUGUUUUUUCUGAAUCCAAAUUGAUUGGCAAAAUUAUUUUUCUCUAUAAAUGUAACAAGUCUGCUGCAAAAUGCUUUUUCCCAAAUAUUUUGUAAAACACGGGCAGCAGAAAUUUUGCCUGUAGUUAUUUUCAUUUGUCUUGUGUCCCUUCUUGAUCAGAGGUCUUAACAUCACCAUAUUUUCUGGAAAAAUGCCACAACACAAUAUGGGGCCACGAUAAUGAGUUAGGGGCUUAGACAAUACUGUUGCUUUUUUUAAAAAAUAUUUGAUCAGGAACAUUGUCUCUGCUUGAAGAAAAUUUUGAUUUUAAUUCCUUCAUAAUACUUAGUAUUUUCUUUUCAAAAUGAUGGAGAACAACAAUUAGUCAUUCUUUCCUUUCAGGCUUUCAGGCAAUCAAAGUGUUCUCCACAAACCCUACCUUCAUUAUACAGUAGUCUUGAAUGAACUGUGACAUGAGCCCGAAUAACAGGGGUAUGAUGUACAAGGACAUGUAUUGAAACUUUGAAAUACUGCACUGAUAAUGGAUAAGUCACAUCUAGGUUUGCUUUAAUAAAGUCAGAAAGGAAAGGAGGACUGAUUGCCUACACCAUUAUUUUGAAAGUCAUAUCACAGUCAUUGAGUGCAUUCUACAUUUCCAAUGGAAGAUCUGCAGCAGAACAAGGGAAAUAAAAUGCAACAAGUGGGCAGGUUACAUCUUCAAACAAAUAAAAUAUGCCACAAAGAGAAAUUAUUACUUUCAAGGAUGUGGAGACACGUCCUUAAAACAAAAUGAGGCAUAACUGGUGACCACUGAGACUGUUCAUCCUUAUAACACAAGGGACAGGAAACAAUUGUGAUGCAUUCCACAUAGACUUCAGAUUUUAGAGAAAAGAUCUAAGUACAUCAAAUUAAUACAGGCACUGCCAGUGUACAUGAGCAGGCAGUGAGCAAAUCUUCAUUCUGUGAGUGAUAAUUUUAUGUAACACAUUCAGAGAAAUAAGCAUUAGAAAUUAGUGUUAGUAAGUAAUCUGGAAUUAGAACCACUCAUGUAUAAGACACCACAAAAUUGUAUUUUUUUAACUGUCAUCCUGGAAGUCAUUAUGUAUAUUAUGUUAUUGUGCAUUAUGUAUCUACUGAGCAAGCCAACAUUUGUAUUUACUGUCAAAGCUAUUGUAUGUAUAUUAUUACAUGUAUAUAAAUAAAAUAGAAAGAAACUUCCACAUGGGAAAAAUAUAUU